UUGAACACCUUGGAAUUAGUACCAAACUAUGCUUUUGCACGGGUAUAAUUAUCAUCAAUAUAUUAUUUAAUUGAAUAAAGAUAUAACUAUAUGACAUUUCUCUUAUAUGUUUACUUUAUUUUAAAUGUUUUAAGAAAUAUUUAUAAAAGACACUGUGAAAACAUUAAGAAAAUAAAUAUAAAGAAUAAAUAUAACUCGAAAAUGAAUAUAAAAAAUAAAGAAUAGGAUGCCAAUAAAAUAUAUAAAUAAAUUAUUAUAAGAUUACCUUAUGAUAUUUGUGCAAAUUGUUGUUCACCUUCUAAUUCCUUAGUUACUGAAAUAUCAUUUGAUAGGUUUGAGAGAAAAACUUGGUUAGACAUUGCAGGUGGCUAGUUUAAUUUUGAUAUGUGAUAUUGAUUUAUAUAGUUUAUAACUAUGACUUUUAGUUUUCAUAGUAUAAAUUAAAUUGUAACUAUUGUCAUAAAUUUUUUU
rnacentral:misc_RNA from 1 species